rnacentral:rRNA from 1 species
AUACGGGAGUGGCAAGCGUUAUCCGGAAUUAUUGGGCGUAAAGCGUCCGCAGGCGGCCCAGAAAGUCUGCUGUUAAAACGUGGAGCUUAACUCCAUCAUGGCAGUGGAAACUGUUGGGCUUGAGUGUGGUAGGGGCAGAGGGAAUUCCCGGUGUAGCGGUGAAAUGCAUAGAUAUGUCAUAGAACACCAAUUGCGAAGGCAGCUUACGAAACUACGACUGACGCUCAUGGACGAAAGCGUGGGUAGCGAACAGGAUUAGAUACCCUGGUAGUCCACGCCGUAAACGAUGAUCACUCGAUGUCAGCGAUAUACUGUUGGUGUCUUAGCGAAAGUUUUAAGUGAUCCACCUGGGGAGUACGUUCGCAAGAAUGAAACUCAAAGGAAUUGACGGGGCCCGCACAAGCGGUGGAGCAUGUGGUUUAAUUCGAUGAUACGCGAGGAACCUUACCUGGGCUUAAAUGUAGAGUGCUUUUUCNGGAAACAGAUUUUUCUUCGGACGCUCUACAAGGUGC